rnacentral:misc_RNA from 1 species
UUAAGUUCAGCGGGUAUCCCUACCUGAUCCGAGGUCAACCUUGUGAAAAGUUCUCCCGCGAGGGGGAGGUAGACCGUCGCCCGCGCACCCUUGAUCCGGUACGUGUCCCGUAAAGAACUCAGUGUACCGGGGGUCCAACGAGCCGCCGUCAUUGUCUUUGGGAGGGGCGGCGACCGAGAGGUCCCCGCCAGGCCGUCCAA